rnacentral:lncRNA from 1 species
CUGGACUCACAGGCCUCCCUUCCACUCACAGCUUUUUGAAGUAGCUCUGUGGACUUACACCAGAGAGAUGAAAAGCUGAAAUCCAGCUGCCGUUCAUUCCUGCUUUGAGAUUAGGAAAGGUAGAGCUGAAUUUGGGCUAUGUUACUCAGAAGCUUUUCCCCAGCUGAUGGAGGCCUGCCCUGGAGGUGCUCAGCUCCAUCUCUGCUGUCCAGGCUGUGAGCAAGAACACCUAAGGAAAGCCAGCAGCCUCCUUCACUCUCCCUCCCCAUCCAUUCAGGUACAGGCCACAAGUCUGCAGCAUCUCACUACAAAAUCAGCACAGAGGCAGUGAUCACACCACGAUGAAAAAAAAAAAAAUAGAUUAAAAAGAGAGGAAAAAAUCAGCUGCUAGAACAAAAGCCAAACAGAAAUGUGUUCCUUAAAUUAUUAGUAGUGUAUUAGAGGUGAUUUAGCACUCACAUGGCCAUUCCUACAACUGCAGAGACCCUGCAACAUAUCUUAUUCCCUUUGUAAUGCGGAUGGCACUGAGAUUGCUCUCAUCUUCUGGGCUUAUAAGCAAAUAUAUUUAAUUUGGAUGUAAUACAGCCAGGAGGGUGAUUUCUCCAGAUGGCGAUUUAAGCAACAGAUCAAGAGAUGAAUUAAGCACCUCAUUCCUUCAGAUUUUAGGAGAUCUGCAGGUGCCAGGGAUCCUGCCUCCAGCUUGGGUCCAGGGUAAAUUUCGGCCAAGAUGAAGCCUCUUAUUGGCUGCAUGAAUUCUAGCCUCCUUCAUUAACAUGAAGAGUGCCGUGCUCCCCGCUGUCUUAGGAGUUACAGAACAUUUAAAAGAUGAUUUGCGGACAGAUUAAGGACUUCAGAAGGAGAGAUGACACCAGACCUAGGUCUUGCAGAUGCAAACUCCUGUCAAGUGUGAGAGGAGGGGGAGUAUUAUCCACCAGUGGCAGAUAGGCUGGGCAUCUGGGCAGAAUGAUAAGAGCUGUGGCCCUGCAGCCAGUCCCUGCAUUUGCACCCUGAGUUUGCCAUGAGCUGUGUGACCUUAGUCAAGUUUCUCAACCUCUCUGUGCCUCAGCUUCCUUCUCUGAAAAAUGGGGAUCGUGUUUUGCACACAGCCCGACACACAGCAAAUAUUCAGUGACUGCUGCCGCUUUCUGCCAUGGCUAAAGGUGGUGUUGUGGUUUUCCUUCCAGGUUUUUAUGCUUUAAUUUCCUAACUGUUCCUGCAUUACUUCACAGUUGAUGACGUGUGGGGCCAAGCUCUUGGCACACGUGAGCACAGUGGAUAUUCAAGGAGCGUUAACUCGGGUCCAUUUUUCUUUCCAUCAAACACAGCCUCCUGGUAAAAGAGCCAUUCAGGAUGCCUGGAGGAGCCCAGAUUUCAAAUCUGAUGAAGUCUGCAGUUCUAUAAAUUCCCUCCCUCUUUUGUGCUGAUGGCAACGACUUUUAUAUGUAUUUUCAUGUCUUUCUCUCCAGAGAUAAAUUUUGUGGCCUGCCACUGAAUCUGCUUCCUAAAAUGUAGCUUGGAGAUUUUAUUUGAGAUAAACUAUCAUGUGAAUAAAUAUAGAUACUAUAUUUUAAUCUGGGAGCGUUCCAUUUGGAACCUUUUUUUUUUUUUAAAGUCAACAUUAGUGGUGCCGUCAUUCAAAGGAUAUGGACGUUUGGGGGAAAUUUACAUCCAACUGUGACUGAGAACCUUUUGCCAGGAUAAUAUCUGUUUCUCUGAAAAUGACAAUGGCUAUGGACGUAAAGCAUGAUCUCAGAUGGCAGUCCCGAAAUCAGGAAGGUCCAUUUCAACACAUCUCCUGGCCCCUGUGGCAAGCUACAAUGCUGGUAUGCUCGCAUGGUAGGGUCUCUGCCUUGCAGGUAACACGUGUCCAUCUGAGAAUAGUAAAGGAGGUUCAUUUGUUUAUGUGCUGGUGGUGCUGAGGAGUUUCACAGAGGCUGGAAAACAGGGGCUGGCAAUUGAUUCCCCCCAGAGCCCUCCGUUUCACAUUGCCCCACCCCAGAGACCAUGGGAGAUGAUCAUGGGAGAGGAAGGUAAACAUGCAUCAGUGGAGCGGGAGAGUGAAGGGGUGAAGAAACAGGAAACUGCGAUCACUGUGGGACGUUGCCCUUUUUUCAUGACCACGAAGAUGCAAAAUGCUGAGCCUUGUUAUUUCUGGCCCAGGUAGGAAUUGGUGCUUCCAUUUAAUUAGCGUAUCAUAGAAUCAGAUUAUUGACCAUGGGUUGGGUCCACACCAAAACCCCUGAGCGCCUGAGCCCGGGGGAGCCCUAAGCUCUCCUUGUCCGAGAGUCGUGAGGGAGGCACCCUAGGAGCCCCUGCAGGAUUCUAGGGGCCAAUUGAUCUCAUAGCUUUUAGGGAGAAAAUGCCCCUAACAAUACUUUCUUUCUCAUCUGUGCAAUAUGCAAUAAAUUCAUCUACCCACAAACUGAAACGUGAACAACUGCUUAAGUAUCACAAAGCAGUCCAUGAUACACCAAAAAAGAUGCUGUUCCAGGAAAGUAACAAAAUUGCCUGUUCUCCACGCCUCACCCCGUUUAUGGACUUUCAGUUCUCCACGGUAAUAGAGUGGGAGGUGAUGAACAAAGCGAGACCUCACCAGAGGCUGUGUGAUUUGUGGAAACUUUGAAUAACUCUUUUUAUCCCAGGCCCCUUCUAGUGAAAGUCCAUUUUAUGAUUUGUACAAACCAACAUUGUUUUUGCGGGAGGGCAUGUCAACACCCCGAAUGGCUGAAACUGACCCAGAAGUCAAAUUAGCUGGAAUUGAAUCUAUAAAAUGGAUUCAUUUGCACCUCAUUAGAACAUAAAAGCAAAUCCAAGUUCACAUGGGGAGGUGGGGGAGGGCAAAGCGGUACUAAUAGAAGAAAAGAUGUUGGCUGAAAACAUGUUUUGAAAACAAGGUGUUAAAUGAUAAAAUAUGGCAAAAAAAGCAAAUGGAGAAUCCACAAACACAUAUGGGUUAACUCUACUCCAGCACACUGGGCCUGUGAGAAACAGAUUGAGCUUGCACCUUCAAGGCCGUUGUGAUCAAUGGGAGAGCAGACAUGCAAACAAUGGAAGCUCUAGACCUACAAUCUGCUCACAUUGGUGAAGUGAAAGCACCUGCAGGAUUGAAUUUACCCAGUAGGUUAGGACCCUGCAUGCUCACGGAACCGCCCUACCCAUCCUGCCUCCCCACCUGGCUCUGCCUCCUAAAUGGAUAGAUACAUGCUGUUCUAAAGUUGGCCAAGCUCUAUAGUCUCCUUGGGAAAAUAACAACCUUAGAACAUGGGACAGCCCUGUACUCACAAAUUGAUGUCAUAGCCUAAGACAACCAAGGCAACAGAGGAUUCUCAAGAAGGUAGUGGAGGGGACAAAUAACUUCUACCUCAGGAGAUCAAAACGUGAAGCCACUGGUCACUAUUCUGCUGGCUUACACUGAUGUUUACUCACCAUGACAUAUUAAUGAAAGGCUUUUAAUGUCAGUCAUUUCAAUCACAAAUCCUUACAAAAUAAGCAAAGUGUUACUCUUGCUCCAUGAACAGGAUACAGAGAUUCCUGCUAAAAUCACCCCAAGCUCAACCCUGACCUCACCUGCUUUAAUUAUGCGUGAAGUAAGUCAAAUUCCUUUGCAACAAGCAGGCAUUCAUUAUCUAUAAUUCCUAUUUUAUAACUUUUUUGUUUGAUCUAUCCCAGAAUUCAUUCUGAAGAAAUUCAACAGAAUAAAUGAUCAUUUUCCCUGACCACUUGACUGCUGCUUUGAAUAUGUAAUGUGGCUACACAUGUAUAUUAUUUAUGAAAAAUUGAUUGCUGUAACAUCUCAAUAUUCCUUUCAUGCCCUGUGAAUGUGGACUUAAUACAUUUCCUCUGAAACCCACGACUGGCCUGCAGUACGUGACAAUGCCUUGGAGAGGCGAAUGGAUUUAUUGGUUUGGGCAGCCUGUCGUCUGUGCGGAAAUUAGGGAAUUCCUGCGCACAGUCGGCUCUCGCCUGCACGUCAGGAGCUUCAGCUGGCAUGGGGCGUGAUGACUGUGCUGGCCCAUAGGGCAGUCCCCAGUAAAUUUGGAGGACAAUAUAGACCAGCAUCCCAGCGUUUCUCUAAGGACCAUGGUCUAAAAACCACGCCCCGUGAGGGAGACCCGGGAUGCAGGGAUGCACACUUUCUCCAGCUCCCAGUCUGACUUGAGCCCUGCGGGGUAAGUAUCGGAUUCCUCCAGACGCAGAUCUUGAAACGACUGGGACGGACCCAAGUUGUUUCUUUAGGAGGCAAUUCCAGGCAGAAGUGGGAGAGGCGUGUGGAAAUGAGACAAGGAGGCCGCAGGGGCCAUGGGGAGAUACCACUGGGUGCUCUGGGACCAGAUCCUCCCUGCAGAGGAAGGAUCCCAUGUGUGAGGCCCCGUGUACAUCUUCCGCCUCCCAAGUGUCAUUGCACGGGCACGCACAGAGCCCAGGGUCCCUCUGCAUUCCCUGCCGUGAUGGUGGGGUGGGAGGAAGCCCUAGGGGCUGGGAGUCCCGGAGACCCAUAGAGGACAGAAAAGGACAUGAACUGGACCAGUGAAUACUGCGGGGACAGCGUCUGCAGCUGGGAGGCGUUCCUGAGAGUUUACAAGUCCAUCACCGCCCCGUCCCUCACGGCACACCCAGAGCCUGGGAGUCAAGCCAGAGUGGCUGUGCAAAGCCAUGCCUGCAAUCACUGUCGCUGUUUCUCUGGAAUCCAGAUGAAAAUGAUCUACAGGCAGGGAUGAGACUUGGGGCAGGAGAAUGGUUUGAGGACACAAAGCUCUGGUGUCCUGGUGAACAACAAGAUCUGGUCAACUGCUUUGCCUACAAGAACCUUCUGAAGAGCAAUUCUGGUGUUGGAUGUAUGAGAGAUUGAUGAAUUGUGAAUAAGAUGCACAGCAGGUAAAACAAAACGAAAACAGCCACAAGGGAGCUGUCCCCGCACCUCCACCACAAUGGCAGGGGCAGCAGCGAACCCAGCAAGGAUCCCCUGCCUGCAGUGGCUGCUCAGAGACUUGCGGCUGCCUCUGUCUGAAGGUCUGGCUACUGGAGGAGUUCUAGGAUGGGGAGGGGGGCCCAGGAUCAGGUCGAGCAUUCCUCACUGCUGGACCAGGCAUGAGGUAGCUCACACUUCUGCAGCCUGGAAAAAGAGUGGAUUUGGGCUGCGCACAUCCCUGGUGCCCAAAGCGUGGCCAGAAAGACAGCCCCUGUAUCACCUGGGAGCCUGUUAGAAAUCAGUCUCUGGUUGAGCCCCGGAUCGGAUGACUGGAAAUGUAUAUGUUAAUAAGGUCCCCAGGUGCUUCAUGCUCACAUGACAGUUUGAGAGACAGGGCACUGGCUACAGCUUCUGGCCCAGCUCUGCGUCUUUGGGGACUGAGUCAAGAGGAGCCCGCAUGGGCUUGGAGUUUCCCAUGGGCCUGACACGGCCUUGUUUCAUUUCAUUCACUAAAUGACGGUGCUUGGCAGGAGCACCACCGUCCACCUCUUACAGAUGAGCUCAGAGCUGCCUCAUGAUGUGCUCAGAUGCGUUCUGCAGCAGUCGGUGUGGACAUGGGGCAGCUGCCUCUGCAGUGCACCCAACUCACACCAGACUCUCCUGCCCUCGAUCCCAUGGGAGGUCCAAAUGGCCCCGUCCAAAGAGUGACCCCAGGCCACAGAGCAGCCCAAUCUUGUCCAAUUUGGAUGAUUCUAGGAAGAUUUCCAAACAAGAAAAAAAAAUGUUUCGAACCCAAACUGAAGGAGAUGGCAAAAGACACAAAGUAAUGAAGUGGGAGCCAAAAUGGUUUUCUUUUCCUCCACUGAAUAUUUUUCAUGUGGUAUCGGAUGUUCUUUAAAGGUCAAAUGUUACUAUUGCUCAUUUCCUCCUCAGCUAAUCAAGUAUUACGCAGUGGCUUAAGGUCACAAGCGUGAGUUACUGAUGAAAAUAAAAGCCUGUUCUUGAUUUUGUAAGGGAAACACAUGAUUUGAGUACACGCCUGUAGAAACUACUUUAUGUUCAGGGCAAGCAUGUUCCGCACGUAUUUGAAUUUGGGCAGAUGAUG